rnacentral:rRNA from 1 species
CGGCGGACGGGUGAGUAACGCGUGGGUAACCUGCCCUAUACACAUGGAUAACAUACUGAAAAGUUUACUAAUACAUGAUAAUAUAUAUUUACGGCAUCGUAGAUAUAUCAAAGUGUUAGCGGUAUAGGAUGGACCCGCGUCUGAUUAGCUAGUUGGUGGGGUAAAGGCCUACCAAGGCGACGAUCAGUAGCCGGUCUGAGAGGAUGAACGGCCACAUUGGAACUGAGACACGGUCCAAACUCCUACGGGAGGCAGCAGUC